rnacentral:rRNA from 1 species
UACGUAGGGUCCAAGCGUUAUCCGGAAUCGCUGGGCGUAAAGCGUGCGUUGGCGGAUGUUUAAGUGUGAUGCGAAAUCCUGGGGCUCAACCUCAUGGACUGUAUUGCAUACUGGAUAUCUAGAGGAUAUGAGAGGCAAGUGGAAUUCCUGGUGUAGCGGUGAAAUGCGCAGAUAUCAGGAGGAACACCGGUGGCGAAGGCGGGUCUCUGGGCCGAUACUGACGCUGAGGAGCGAAAGCGUGGGGAGCGAACAGG